UUUUGAGAAGAUCCUUUAGGACAUUGGCACAAACGCCAAGUUUGAGAGUUUUUCUAGGGCAGCUUCCUGAGGAGGAUGGAGAUGGGGUGGGCUUAGGUUUAGGUUUGGGAAUGGAACCGCAGCCACCACCACAAGCUGUAGUUAGCGUGAAAAAGAGGAUGUUGAAUGUGAGGAAAAUGAUAAGGGAGGCUGAGAUUUUGGAAGCCAUCUUUCCAAAGAUAAAUUUCAAAUUGAGCAAGUUCUAAGAUGGAAAUGUUGCUCUAGAGAGUGGUGAAGUAAAAUGAAGAACGGAUGUGUGUAUAUAUAUUAGGAUUGCAAGGGGUUGGACAGUUAAAUAAAGCUGUCUUACUAAAUCAUUUUGACAAUUAUUAACUUCUUUGAUAUUUUAGUGACAGUGGAACAUUGUUUUAUUAAAUGGUUACAAUAAAUCGUUUUUCAUAUAUCAUUCAGAAAUGUGCACAAUCAUGGAACUUAUUUAAUAAUGAUGUUGUGAUGUAGUAGUUUUUUUUUUGUCAACUAAAUUUUGAUCCGUGUUUUCAAAUCACGAAAUAUUUUAUGAUAAUUUUUUAAUUAACAUUGUGACAAUUAAUUUUUAAGAAUUGACAAUUGUGUCAAUUCAAAACGUUGUUUUAUUUAAAUCAAUGUCUCUAAACCGAUCUGGAUCUGCGGUCAUACUGGUAAACCAAUAAUCCGAUAUGUAAUCUUGUUUGAGUUUUAAGAAAUAUCCAUAUCUUAUUUAAAAUCCAAUAAAAUUCGUAAGAACCCGGUAAAUCUUAAGACUAACCGGUUAAACCAAUGGGUGAUCGAUAUGUAAAAAAUGUCAUUAACAAUGUUUCAAAUCAUUAACAAUGUUUCAAACGUUUUGUUAAUUUGUAAGAAUUGUGUCGAUUUAAAAUAGUUUUUUAUUUAAAUCAGCAUUUUAAAUCCGACUCAAAUCCGCGGUCGAACCGGUAAACUGGUAAUCCGAUAUGUAAUUUGGUUUGAAUUUACCCAUUAUUUAAAAACCCAAUAAAAUCCGUAAAAACUGCUAAAUCUCAAGGCUUACUGCUUAAACCGAUGCGUGACCGAAAUGUAAAUCUUAUUUGAUUUGAAUUGUAAAUUUUAAAAUUUAUGUUUAAAUAAUUAUUAGUUUUAAUAUUAUUGUAUUUUUGUUAUAUCUCUUUUAAUUCCAACUUCUUAAGAAAUGGAACCUAGACUUAGUUAUUUCAUAAUUAGAUUAACAUUCGGAAACCUUUUAAAAACUACACAAUAACAAAAUCACAUAAGAUAUCAUAAGCAAUACGACUAAUAUAUAAAGAUAUAAUCAUAUAAACUAGACUAUGGUGUGUAUAAAACUAGUGGUCAUUAACGAAUGUUUGUUUGUUUAAAUUUUCUUUUUGUCAAAUUUUUUGAGAGAGAACUGCUUAGCUUUAUAUUGAAUAUUCCUUUUUGGUUUUUGAGAAGCAGAUGUGGCUUUUGUUAUUGUGCAAGACUUCCUUAUCCAUCGAAUAUUCCUUUCCAAUUGUUAGAAUCUUACCAUUAAAAUUGAUUUAAAAAUUCCAGCAUUAAUAAUCGUGAUAUAAAGUAUUACCAUAUAAAUAUUCCUUUUCAAUUUUUUAUGUUUCUGGUUUAAUAAUAUUGAUUUUAUUGAAGGAUUAACUCGUUGAUCGUUGUUUUACUAAAAGUGAAUCACUGUUUUAUUAAGUGGUUAAGAUAAAUCUUUUUUUUUUAAUUUCAAUUAAUGAGUUAUCCGCCUCCAUACGCGGGAAUAAAGAUUUACGAAAGAAAUAGUAAUUAAACAUUAUUUGUGUUUUGUUUAGUUUAAUAUUUUAUAUUAUUUUAGAUAAGAUGAUUAUUUCUGAGUUAUUGAGUUGUGAUGUUUUAACGUACAGAAUAUUCAGCUUUACUAUGAUAUUUGUUUCUAAAAUUCUAGUUUAACUUUUAAACAAAUUCUAAUCUAAUUUUAAUCUGGUGUAGUUAGUUUCAUAUUAUUUGUAUGGAUAUUUUAAUUUUAAUUUUGUUUAUUUAUUUAUUUGGGUUUAUUACUGAAGUUUGUGAAUUAUGAAAACUCACAAAUAACUUAUAAAAUUUACAAACUAACAAAAUUCAAAACUGAAAAGUAUGGUUUAAGACCAGUUUAAAAUUUCAUCAUUUAAAUUAUAACAUCACAUUUAAAAAAGUAACUGAAGUUAAGAUUUAUCAUUUUAUUCAAAAAAAUAAAUUUAAAAUAUUCAGUUGUUUUAAAAAACAUAUAAAAUCAAUUAAAACAAAUUAAGUUUAGAAAUAUUUCUAGUAAACAAUAGAUCUAAUUUUCUAAUGUGAAGUCAACACUAAGUAAAAAUAAAAUGUGCCGUGUACUAAAAUAAAAUCUUGUUUCUAGCAGAGUAGCAAACAUGAUAGGUAUUAAAACUUUUGGAAGAAUUUCAUGUUUAUCAUUUUCAUAGUACUAUUAUUCAUCUUUAUCAUCACUGGAGGGCAAUAAUAUAGUAUUCAUUAAGUGACAAAAGACUCUUAUAUCCUUGUUAUGUAUAUACAUAUAUAAUUAUUUAAAUAAUAAAAUAAAACCAAUUUAAAAGUAAUUUUUUAUAUUUUUGAAUUAUACUUAUUCAAAUUUAAACUUUUUUUUUAUAAAUUAAAAAAAAUUUGCAAAAUUCAAAUUUCUUUUUGAAAAUAAAAAAUUAUGUUUUUAAACUAUUCUUUUUUUUAAAUAUAAUUUUUUAACUAUUUAUUUAUAUACUUUUUAGAAUCUUAAAUUCACAUUCCAAAAACCUUACUCCACUCCUCAACUCUAAAGCUUAAGUCUAAAUUAGUUAAUCCUAAGAGUAUAAAUGUCUUUUAUCCUUCAUUAAAAGUGAAGGUAAAAUUGGUUAGUGUACACAUGAAAAGUGGUACUAUGAAUGUGAUAUUUGUGGUAAUUUCCCAAAACUUUUCAACUAAUUCUAUUACAUGUUAGAAUUGUUGUCUCGAUAAAAUAUGUAGAGUUAUUUGAGGUAUUCUUUCAUUAUAAAUUGAGUAUAUGAUAUUCAUUUUGAUCUUUCAUGUAUUCAAAGAUGAAUGAAUUUCUCUAAAGAAAAUAAUGGUAGUGGUUUCUUACGAAGAAAAGACAUAUUUUUUAUGAAUAAAGUAUAAUUUUAUAUAUCAAAUUAUUUUUGUUGGUAAUGCAAACUUGAAAACAAUAUUUUUUUAUAUAUUGUUUGAACAUUCAUAUAUUAUCAAGAUUGGAAAUUUUUAUUUAAAAAUGUUAAUUUUUUUUAGAAAUUAAAAAUUGAUUAAAAUAAAAUUAAAUAGUACUAUGAUGUUUCUAACUAACGUAAAAAAAUUAUAAAAAUAUUUUUUUUAUUCAAUUACAUGUUUUAAAUAUAAAAAUCAUAUAUAUUUAUACUAAAGAUAUUGCUUUUUCGAUAGUAAGGUGAUUGGCAAACAAAGUUUAACAGAAAGGUUAAAUAAAAAAUAUUAGUAAUGACAUUGUAAUAAUAAACUUACUUCAUUAAGAUUAUCAUUGAAAUUAACUAUUAUAAGAAUUAACAUGACAACAACACAUAGUAAACUAAUUUCUCAAAUAAUAUCACAGAGAUAUAUUUGGUUUUUUAUUAAUAGUAAAAGUAUAAUUUUUAUUGUUGCAAAAAUAUAUUUUAUUGUUGCAAAAAUAUAUUUUAUUUUGUAAAGAUUUAUUUUAUUUUGUAAGAAAUUAAUGCUAAUAUUUUUUUUAAAAAAAAUUGACUUUCCAAAUAAUAUUAUAAAAAUAAAUAAAUAUAUUUUAAUAUUAAAUGGUUAAAGGUAAAACGGUAUUUUGUACAAUUUGUGUCACAAUUAAACUUGCUUGCCAAAAACUAGAUUUAGCAACAAAUUGGAAUUCCUUGUGGCCUCAACUGGUUUUCUUUUAGUUUAAAAAAAAACUAGAUUUAAACUGGAAUCCAUGCACAUGUGUAGAAUAAAUCAUUCGUAUUGUAGCUGGCGCCUGGCGAUUGUGUUUGUAGAUUGGUUUUUUUGUGACCACACAGUCUGGAUUUUCAUAUGUGUAUUGGCUUAUACUUCUUGUUUUAUUGUAGCUGUCCUGAUCAGAAUAUCAUUAGUGCUAAAAUUCAACAAUUCACAUUACUUCUGAUUUUUAAAAAGAAUGUAAACCAUAGCAGAUCUGACGGAACCAAAAACAAAAAUCACAUACGUUAACGAGUUUUAUUGACCUCCGACUUAAACUUACAACAAGGGGGUAUUGAAACAUAUAAUUAAUAUAUUAGUUUUAAUAUGGGAUCUCAACAUAUGUUUUUACAACGCUGGUUAAUUAUGGUAUUACAAACUAUGAGAAAUAUUACAUCCGAUUCUGUAGCUGAUAAAUUUUACACGCCUUAUGAGAAUUCACGUAUUGACUGCAUCACUUGAGUCGCUCUAUCGAAUCUACAUUUAACGGUACUUCUUGCACCAUUCUGUAGAUCUCUUGUAAGCAUUUUUUCAUUAUACUGCAUAAUUCCGGAUUUUCUGGGACUCAAAACCUAAACAUUUUGAUGUAUAAAUAUUAAUGAAUCCUUUCAACUAAAAAAAAAAACAUUAAUGAACCCUUAAACAUCUCCAAUGGUCCCUCAUUAUGAAGGAAACAUCAAAAAAUAAGAGAAAUCAUUCUCCAAUAAUACAUCAUUUUGAGGAAAAAAUGAGUUUGUGACUAGCACUACUUCAAACACAAACUCAUUUUGAUGUUGGAUUUUUUUAUUUAUAAUCCAUUUCUCCACAGGCGUUUAGGGAAAAGUUUUGGAGCAACAUCAUGUUCAGUUAGACCUAAGAAAAUAGAGCAACAAGGUCUCAUACCCCAGUGUGCUGAAAUUCAAGUUGAUGUGAUUAUGAAUAUUUGCACAUGUCAAAAGUUUGGAUUUUGAAUAUUCUUGACUUAACAUGGUUAGCCUUAUCCUAUAUCAAAAAUUUUAACCAUAAAAUUUGACUUUUAAUAUUUAGCUUUAGAUUUAACGGAGGUAUGUUUUUGUCCAUCUAUAUUUCACCCAAAAUUUAACACGAAAGCUAAAGUUAAAAUAAAAUAAAAUUUUAUUCUCUUAUAUAUAAAAUUAGGUUUCUAAAAAAAACUGCAAAUUCAAAACUUCAUAGAUAUUCUCUUCUCCAAAACCAAAAAAAAAACGGAUCAAUCAAAUCAAAAAAUGAGAUUUGUUCGGGUUUGGAUCUGAUCAAUUUCUCAAGCGGAUCCUAUAUCCAUAGAAUCAAAAGACUGAAACCAAACCAAAAUCGAACAGAGAACCGAAUGGAUACAUGAAUUUCUAUGAUAUAGUUAAUAUACUUAGAAAAAUUAAAUAUAUUUAGUUUUAAAAUAAUCAAAGGAGAUGGAAUGCGCUUCCACCAUUAUGCGUCAGAUAACCAUGGCUGUAAACUCAAUGAGUGGAAGCAGAAGUGGCUCGCUAAAAAAGAGCCGAAGCCGAUAAACCUCACCGUUUGGGACGAUUUUAAGAAGCAUGGGGCAAAUCUGGAAACAAAUGCUCAAUCGGAAACCAACUUCUGUAACCAGUGUAGUCAGCGUGGUGGGUAAGAAGUUUAUGUCCACAAACUGGGGUCCACUAGUUUACAUUUCCGGGAACUUCAGCUUGUCAAGAUCUGUCCGUCGGGAACUCCAAACGACUUUUCUCCAUCAGAAAUUUUCCCGGCGACUUUGUGUCUGUCGGAAAUUUUCCUGACGAAUACCAUCUGUCGGGAUUUUUCAAUUUUCCAAUGAAUUUCCGAGAAUAUGUCCACCGAGAAUCCAUCACGAAGAGUGUUCGUUGGGAAUGCAAAUUUCUGACGGAUUCCCGACAGAUUCUUCUUGUAGUGUUAGUUUAUAGCAAUCCAUUUUUGACUGAUUUUCAGAUGAACCAUGCCAUAACUUUCCAGAUGUUCCGAUGAAUUUGUGUUAUCCUAUUUUGUAAGAACACAUCCUAUCUGAGAAUUCUAACAAAUUGCGUUUCUUUUGAAAAACGAUUGGUAAGAGCUUAUUCUGAUAACGUUCUGACAAACAUGGCAGUUGGUAGUAUGAAAUCAUCUUUCUGGUAAUGGACGUAUAUGAUCCAUUCAAGUUGUUUUGUUAUUUUUUGGUCAAGUUCAGUUUGGCUUCAUCCGGAUUCAAGUCAGUUCGUGUAACUAGUUUGAAAUUCGGUAUUUAUCUAACACUUGCGCAGACACUUGGAUACGUCACUUUAUCUUGAACUAACCACAUAUACGAUUCAGCAUACGGAUGAUAAUGGCGUGAAUUAUAGUAUGGUAUCAAAAUAUUAUUUAGAAAUCUGAAAAAUCUGAAGAUAAUAUUUGUGUCUAAAUUCUGACAAUUACUAACGGUAGACUUACGUGUUAAAUCGUUUUAAAGAUAUGUUGCAAACUGUUAUUGUAUUAGUUAUAUAUGUAUCGUGCAUGUGGUUGCUACGUUCAAUAAUUUGCUGAUAAUGCAUAUUUGUUGGGGAUCCUAUAUCUGUACCAACGUGUUGGCAACAAAUGCGUAAUCAUUAUGCGGGUCAAAUCUUGAGAGAAUAGGUUUAUCAGAAUUUAAUUCUAACUGAACAAUGUUUUGUGUUUAUAGACAUUAUGGUUUCAAGCUUUCAGCGCAGGCAACUCUCAAUAAAUCCAUAUCGCUGAUCAAAAAACAGUGGAAUCCAAUUUAUUUAAUGGAGUUAUAAGAUCUGAUUGGUUUUAUUUCGUUUGUGUAAUUAGUUUCUUGGAUUAUUGUUGUGUUUUGUAUUUUAAUAUUAAUUAAAACUUCCUAUAUUUAAUAGAAUUGUAAAUUUCUUAUGUUCUGCAGUUCUUACAAACAUCCCGAGAAUUUCUUACUGUAGUCGAUUUAUUUUAACGAAUAUAUCAGGUCAACAUAAAUUUAUUUUUUCUUUUAAUCUGCAUGAUAAAAUUAUUAAAUGAACAAUAUUUGGAUAAUUAAUGUGGAAACAAGAAGCCGAUUAAUUAUUUUAAAUUAUGCAUGAGCACACUUUUUAAAGCGGAUACAAUAACAAAAGUAGAAGUAACAAUUAUUCGAUUAAAAAUUGAAAAUUGAAAAUUGAAAAUAGAUAAUUUCAAAGAAUGAUAUAAAGAUAGAUGAAUAUCAAAAAGAGAGGAUAUAUAUUCUCCCAAUAACGAAGCAUUGAUAGGUAGAUCAAGCACAUAUGAAUCCACGAGGGGUCUUCCUUCCACAAGCAUUGAGAAGAAGACUGAGAGAGACGGGAACAUUAAGCUUGAUUCCUAGCACAUUUGCCUUUAAGGCGGUACAGAGACAAGCCGCGGCCUCAAGAUCGACCAAACCCUUAAGGAGUGAACAACAAGGCUUGACUGGUGGCGUGCCCAAUUCGAUUUUGAGAAGAUCCUUGAGGACAUUGGCACAAACGCCAAGUUUGAGAGUUUUUCUAGGGCAACUUCCUGAGGAGGAUGGAGUUGGGGUGGGCUUUGGUUUAGGUUUGGGAAUAGAACCGCAGCCACCGCCACAAGCAGUAGUUAACGUGAAAAAGAGGAUGUUGAAUGUGAGGAAAAUGAUAAGGGAGGCUGAGAUUUUUGAAGCCAUCUUUCCAAAGAUAUACUUCAAAUCGAGCAAUUUUAAGAUGGAAG
rnacentral:lncRNA from 1 species